rnacentral:rRNA from 1 species
AUUGAACGCUGGCGGCAUGCCUUACGCAUACAAGUCGAACGGUAACGCGGGGCAACCUGGCGACGAGUGGCGAACGGGUGAGUAAUGCAUCGGAACGUGCCCAGUAGUGGGGGAUAGCCCGGCGAAAGCCGGAUUAAUACCGCAUACGACCUACGGGUGAAAGGGGGGGAUCGCAAGACCUCUCGCUAUUGGAGCGGCCGAUGUCAGAUUAGGUAGUUGGUGGGGUAAAGGCCCACCAAGCCUUCGAUCUGUAGCUGGUCUGAGAGGACGACCAGCCACACUGGGACUGAGACACGGCCCAGACUCCUACGGGAGGCAGCAGUGGGGAAUAUUGCACAAUGGGCGCAAGCCUGAUGCAGCCAUGCCGCGUGUAUGAAGAAGGCCUUCGGGUUGUAAAGUACUUUCAGCGGGGAGGAAGGCGGUGAAGUUAAUAACUUCACCGAUUGACGUUACCCGCAGAAGAAGCACCGGCUAACUCCGUGCCAGCAGCCGCGGUAA